AUUGAACGCUGGCGGAAUACUUUACACAUGCAAGUCGAACGGCAGCACGGGGCAACCUGGUGGCGAGUGGCGAACGGGUGAGUAAUACAUCGGAACGUGCCCAAUCGUGGGGGAUAACGUAGCGAAAGUUACGCUAAUACCGCAUACGAUCUACGGAUGAAAGCGGGGGAUCGCAAGACCUCGCGCGAAUGGAGCGGCCGAUGUCAGAUUAGGUAGUUGGUGGGGUAAAGGCUCACCAAGCCAACGAUCUGUAGCUGGUCUGAGAGGACGACCAGCCACACUGGAACUGAGACACGGUCCAGACUCCUACGGGAGGCAGCAGUGGGGAAUUUUGGACAAUGGGCGCAAGCCUGAUCCAGCCAUUCCGCGUGCAGGAUGAAGGCCUUCGGUUGGUAACUAGUCUUUGUUACGGUAACGGAACGGACGGGCGUCUAAUACAGUUGUCGUAAUAGACGGUACCGUAAGAAGU
rnacentral:rRNA from 1 species